rnacentral:rRNA from 1 species
AACUGCGAAUGGCUCAUUAAAUCAGUUAUCGUUUAUUUGAUAGUACCUUACUACUUGGAUAACCGUGGUAAUUCUAGAGCUAAUACAUGCUAAAAACCCCGACUUCGGAAGGGGUGUAUUUAUUAGAUAAAAAACCAAUGCCCUUCGGGGCUCCUUGGUGAUUCAUAAUAACUUAACGAAUCGCAUGGCCUUGUGCCGGCGAUGGUUCAUUCAAAUUUCUGCCCUAUCAACUUUCGAUGGUAGGAUAGUGGCCUACCAUGGUUUCAACGGGUAACGGGGAAUUAGGGUUCUAUUCCGGAGAGGGAGCCUGAGAAACGGCUACCACAUCCAAGGAAGGCAGCAGGCGCGCAAAUUACCCAAUCCCGACACGGGGAGGUAGUGACAAUAAAUACUGAUACAGGGCUCUUUUGGGUCUUGUAAUUGGAAUGAGUACAAUUUAAAUCCCUUAACGAGGAACAAUUGGAGGGCAAGUCUGGUGCCAGCAGCCGCGGUAAUUCCAGCUCCAAUAGCGUAUAUUAAAGUUGUUGCAGUUAAAAAGCUCGUAGUUGAACCUUGGGCCUGGCUGGCCGGUCCGCCUCACCGCGUGCACUGGUCCGGCCGGGUCUUUCCUUCUGGGGAGCCGCAUGCCCUUCACUGGGUGUGUCGGGGAACCAGGACUUUUACUUUGAAAAAAUUAGAGUGUUCAAAGCAGGCCUAUGCUCGAAUACAUUAGCAUGGAAUAAUAGAAUAGGACGUGUGGUUCUAUUUUGUUGGUUUCUAGGACCGCCGUAAUGAUUAAUAGGGAUAGUCGGGGGCAUCAGUAUUCAAUUGUCAGAGGUGAAAUUCUUGGAUUUAUUGAAGACUAACUACUGCGAAAGCAUUUGCCAAGGAUGUUUUCAUUAAUCAGUGAACGAAAGUUAGGGGAUCGAAGACGAUCAGAUACCGUCGUAGUCUUAACCAUAAACUAUGCCGACUAGGGAUCGGGCGAUGUUAUCUUUUUGACUCGCUCGGCACCUUACGAGAAAUCAAAGUCUUUGGGUUCUGGGG